GUCCUAGCUGUAAACGAUGAUCACUGGGUGUGGGCAGGAAGACUGUCUGUGCCGAAGCUAACGCGAUAAGUGAUCCGCCUGGGGAGUACGACCGCAAGGUUGAAACUCAAAGGAAUUGACGGGGACCCCGCACAAGCGGUGGAGCAUGUGGUUUAAUUCGACGCAACGCGAGGAACCUUACCAGAUCUUGACAUCCUCAGAAUCGAACAGAAGUGUUUGAGUGCCUUCGGGAACUGAGAGACAGGUGGUGCAUGGCUGUCGU
rnacentral:rRNA from 1 species